CUGAGGAGCAUACCAAGGUUGGUGGUGAGGAAGCAGUGGCGAGCAAGGAGCGAGGGAUGUUUGAUUUCUUGGGGAAGAAAGAAGAGGAGAAGCCUCAACCUCAAGAGGAGGUGGUCGCCACCCAGUUUGAGAAAGUCAAGAUAGAAGAGGAACAUAAGGAAGAUGAGAAGAAACACAGUCUCCUGGACAAGCUUCACCGAUCCAAUAGCAGCUCCAGCUCUGUAAUUACUUUUUUUACUUCCUUACUUACUAGUCAUAGUUCAAACAGUCAAAUCUUUUUCAUAUAUAUUAUAACAUGCGUUGUAUGAAUGUUCAGUCUAGUGACGAGGAAGAAGGUGAAGGUGAAGGCGGAGAGAAGAAGAAGAAGAAAAAGGAGAAGAAGGGAAAGAAAGAAGAGGACAGUGCAGUCCCAGUGGAGAAGUGCGAUGAGGCGGCAACAGUUCACCACUCAGAGACGCCGGAAAAGAAGGGUUUCAUGGAGAAGAUCAAAGACAAACUCCCAGGACAGCAUAAGAAAGAUGAAGAGGUCACCACCCCACCACCAGCUGCUGCUGCCCCAACUGAGAACGACCACCAUGAGGGAGAGACAAAAGAGAAGAAGGGAUUUUUGGAGAAAAUCAAGGAGAAAAUUCCUGGUUACCACUCCAAAACAGAGGACGAGAAGGAAAAAGAGACCACUGCUCCCCAUUAAUGAAUCAAUAUAAUGCAUUUCAAGUAAAAGAUGUCUAUGAGAUUGUGUGGUUUAUUAAUUUGUUG
rnacentral:lncRNA from 1 species